rnacentral:rRNA from 1 species
UACGUAGGGGGCAAGCGUUGUCCGGAAUCACUGGGCGUAAAGGGCGCGUAGGCGGCGUUUUAAGUCGGGGGUGAAAGCCUGUGGCUCAACCACAGAAUUGCCUUCGAUACUGGGACGCUUGAGUGUGGUAGAGGUUGGUGGAACUGCGAGUGUAGAGGUGAAAUUCGUAGAUAUUCGCAAGAACACCGGUGGCGAAGGCGGCCAACUGGACCAUCACUGACGCUGAGGCGCGAAAGCGUGGGGAGCAAACAGG